rnacentral:rRNA from 1 species
UACGUAGGGUGCGAGCGUUGUCCGGAAUUAUUGGGCGUAAAGAGCUUGUAGGCGGUUUGUUGCGUCGGCUGUGAAAUCCCGAGGCUCAACCUCGGGUCUGCAGUCGAUACGAGCAAACUAGAGUGUUGCAGGGGAGACUGGAAUUCCUGGUGUAGCGGUGAAAUGCGCAGAUAUCAGGAGGAACACCGGUGGCGAAGGCGGGUCUCUGGGCAACAACUGACGCUGAGGCGCGAAAGCCAGGGGAGCAAACGGG